AACGAACGCUGGCGGCAUGCCUAACACAUGCAAGUCGAACGAGACCUUUGGGUCUAGUGGCGCACGGGUGCGUAACGCGUGGGAACCUGCCCUUAGGUUCGGAAUAACUCCCCGAAAGGGGUGCUAAUACCGGAUAAUGUCUUCGGACCAAAGAUUUAUCGCCUUUGGAUGGGCCCGCGUUGGAUUAGCUAGUUGGUAGGAUAAAAGCCUACCAAGGCGACGAUCCAUAGCUGGUCUGAGAGGAUGAUCAGCCACACUGGGACUGAGACACGGCCCAGACUCCUACGGGAGGCAGCAGUGGGGAAUAUUGGACAAUGGGCGAAAGCCUGAUCCAGCAAUGCCGCGUGAGUGAUGAAGGCCUUAGGGUUGUAAAGCUCUUUUACCCGGGAUGAUAAUGACAGUACCGGGAGAAUAAGCUCCGGCUAACUCCGUG
rnacentral:rRNA from 1 species